UGAACGCUGGCGGCGUGCCUAAUACAUGCAAGUCGAGCGAACGGACGAGAAGCUUGCUUCUCUGAUGUUAGCGGCGGACGGGUGAGUAACACGUGGAUAACCUACCUAUAAGACUGGGAUAACUUCGGGAAACCGUAGCUAAUACCGGAUAAUAUUUUGAACCGCAUGGUUCAAAAGUGAAAGACGGUCUUGCUGUCACUUAUAGAUGGAUCCGCGCUGCAUUAGCUAGUUGGUAAGGUAACGGCUUACCAAGGCAACGAUGCAUAGCCGACCUGAGAGGGUGAUCGGCCACACUGGAACUGAGACACGGUCCAGACUCCUACGGGAGGCAGCAGUAGGGAAUCUUCCGCAAUGGGCGAAAGCCUGACGGAGCAACGCCGCGUGAGUGAUGAAGGUCUUCGGAUCGUAAAACUCUGUUAUUAGGGAAGAACAUAUGUGUAAGUAACUGUGCACAUCUUGACGGUACCUAAUCAGAAAGCCGCGGCUAACUACGUG
rnacentral:rRNA from 1 species